rnacentral:rRNA from 1 species
UGGGGAAUUUUGGACAAUGGGGGAAACCCUGAUCCAGCCAUCCCGCGUGUGCGAUGAAGGCCUUCGGGUUGUAAAGCACUUCUGGCAGGAAAGAAACGUCAUGGGUUAAUACCCCGUGAAACUGACGGUACCUGCAGAAUAAGCACCGGCUAACUACGUGCCAGCAGCCGCGGUAAUACGUAGGGUGCAAGCGUUAAUCGGAAUUACUGGGCGUAAAGCGUGCGCAGGCGGUUCGGAAAGAAAGAUGUGAAAUCCCAGAGCUCAACUUUGGAACUGCAUUUUUAACUACCGGGCUAGAGUGUGUCAGAGGGAGGUGGAAUUCCGCGUGUAGCAGUGAAAUGCGUAGAUAUGCGGAGGAACACCGAUGGCGAAGGCAGCCUCCUGGGAUAACACUGACGCUCAUGCACGAAAGCGUGGGGAGCAAACAGG